CUCCUACGGGAGGCAGCAGGUAAGAAUCUUCCGCAAUGGGGGGAACCCUGACGGAGCGACGCCGCGUGAGCGAAGAAGGCGGAAACGUUGUAAAGCUCUUUUCUUGAGGAGGAAUAACCUGGGGAGGCAAUGCCCUGGGGAUGACGCUAAUCGAGGAAUAAGCCCCGGCUAAUUACGUGCCAGCAGCCGCGGUAAUA
rnacentral:rRNA from 1 species